UUGCAAGAAUCAUUUAUUUUCAGAAUUAUUACAGACCCAUUUACUAGUAUGAAUAUUCUGCUGUGAAUCAAAAAAUACACUUUUUAUCUGUGCUCAGAGUUCUGUCAGUGUCACAAUACCAAGAGAUUCGUAAACUUGUAAACAGUUUAGUAAGUUAAUAGAAAGAGAUUUCUGUAAAAAAUGGUUUCAGUUGCUUUGUGGGUAGGACCUUUUUUUACUCCUGACCAAUCAGCCAAAACCACAGCCACAUAUUGUUGCAACCAUUGGCUGGAUUGUUCCAUCAAUCAAAUCUCAGGAAGUAGCGAAGAGGAAUCGUACUUGUAACCAUGAAUCUCAAUGUGCGACCAUGAAAUUCAGAAUACAAACUCACAGGGUUCUGUCAUCCAUUAUAAUCCCAUAGAUAAUUUAUGCAUGUAUAUGUGUGUGUGUAUGUAUGUAUGUGUGUGUAUAUAUAUAUGUGUGUGUGUGUGUAUGUAUAUAUGUGUAUAUAUGUGUAUAUGUAUAUAUAUGUAUAUAUGUGUAUAUAUGUGUAUAUAUGUGUGUAUAUGUGUAUAUAUGUGUAUAUAUGUGUAUAUAUGUGUGUAUAUAUGUGUAUAUAUGUGUAUAUGUAUAUAUAUGUGUAUAUGUAUAUGUAUAUAUGUGUAUAUAUGUGUAUAUAUGUGUAUAUAUGUGUAUAUAUGUGUAUAUAUGUGUAUAUGUGUAUAUAUGUGUAUAUGUGUAUAUAUAUAUGUAUGUAUAUGUGUGUUUAUUUAACUAGGCAAGUCAGUUAAGAACAAAUUCUUAUUUACAAUGACUGCCAAUUGUACACUGUACUAUGGGACUCCCAAUCACGGCCGGUUGUGAUACAGCCUGGAAUCGAACCAGGGUCUGUAGUGAUGCCUCUAGCACUGAGAGGCAGUGCCGAGAGAAUGCCAAGAGUGUGCCAAGCUGUCAUCAAGGCAAAGGGUGGCUAUUUGAAGAAUCAAAAAUAUUUUUUGAUUUGUUCAACACUUUUUUGGUUACUACAUGAUUCCAUAUGUGUUAUUUCAUAGUUUUGAUGUCUUCACUAUUAUUCUACAAUGUAGAAAAUAGUAAAAAAUAGUGAGUAGAUGUUCUAAAUCUUUUGACCGGUAGUGUAUAUUGGGUUCUGUAGAAUACUAUCAGUAUGUGAUCUUGUAGACAUGGAUUGAGAUCUAACUUUCAUUUUUUUACAUUCAUCACUGAAAUCACCAGAGUGGUCUGUUCUCUGGGCAGUGAAUGAGUAGAACAGAGACUAUGUAAAGUAGAGAAUCCCAUACAGUGAAUGAGCAGAGACUAUGUAAAGUAGAGAAUCCCAUACAGUGAAUGAGCAGAGACUAUGUAAAGUAGAGAAUCCCAUACAGUGAAUGAGUAGAACAGAGACUAUGUAAAGUAGAGAAUCCCAUACAGUGAAUGAGCAGAGACUAUGUAAAGUAGAGAAUCCCAUACAGUGAAUGAGCAGAGACAAUGUAAAGUAGAGAAUCCCAUACAGUGAAUGAGCAGAGACAAUGUAAAGUAGAGAAUUCCUUACAGUGAAUGAGCAGAGACAAUGUAAAGUAGAGAAUCCCAUACAAUGAAUGAUCAGAACAGAGACUAUGUAAAGUAGAGAAUCCCAUACAGUGAAUGAGCAGAGACAAUGUAAAGUAGAGAAUUCCAUACAGUGAAUGAUCAGAACAGAGACUAUGUAAAGUAGAGAAUCCCAUACAGUGAAUGAGCAGAGACAAUGUAAAGUAGAGAAUCCCAUACAGUGAAUGAGCAGAGAAAAUGUAAAGUAGAGAAUUCCAUACAGUGAAUGAGCAGAGAAAAUGUAAAGUAGAGAAUUCCAUACAGUGAAUGAGCAGAGAAAAUGUAAAGUAGAGAAUUCCAUACAGUGAAUGAUCAGAACAGAGACUAUGUAAAGUAGAGAAUCCCAUACAGUGAAUGAGUAGAACAGAAACUAUGUAAAGUAGAGAAUCCCAUACAGUGAAUGAGCAGAGACUAUGUAAAGUAGAGAAUCCCAUACAGCGAAUGAGCAGAACAGAGACUAUGUAAAGUAGAGAAUCCCAUACAGUGAAUGAUCAGAACAGAGACUAUGUAAAGUAGAGAAUCCCAUACAGUGAACAGCCUCACUGUAAUGUCAGUCUCACUCUAACCACUAGAGGGCAUCAGAACCUGUUGAAUAGGACAGCCUCACUGUAAUGUCAGUCUCACUCAGGUGUAGGUCUCAAUUUUGUGUCAGAAGCACAGUGCAGUGUUUUUGGGGGGGGGGGGGUGUAACUCAUAUGAUACCUGGUGACUUCACAUCUCUAGGGGCUUUCAUCAAGAUAAGCAAUGUCACCAUCAGUAUUGCUUUUAUCAACGUUGACAUAGGGGGGGUUAUGUCACAUUUACAUAAUUUAGCAUAUGCUCUUCCCUGGUGGGAGUCGAACCCACAACCCUGACAUUUCAAGCACCGUGCUCUUUGAACUGAGCUACACAGGACCACAUUUUGAAGUUGACAUAGUAUGUUAUGUCACAUUUGACAAUGCACCCUACAUAGGGAGCUGUUUUGUCACCCUUUGUACACACUUUGUAUUGCUUAUGAAGACUGUAUGUAUGCUAUAUCAAGCCUUUAUAAGUUGUAUUUAGUUUAUUCACAGUCUAACCUUCUGCUUUACCAAAUCCAGAGACCAUGGUGGAGAGAGUUGUAUCAGGCCUGGACCUGAGGACACCAGAGACCAUGGUGGAGAGAGUUGUAUCAAGCCUGGACCUGAGGACACCAGAGACCAUGGUGGAGAGAGUUGGAUCAAGCCUGGACCUGAGGACACCAGAGACCAUGGUGGAGAGAGUUGUAUCAAGCCUGGACCUGAGGACACCAGAGACCAUGGUGGAGAGAGUUGUAUCAAGCCUGGACCUGAGGACACCAGAGACCAUCGUGGAGAGAGUUGUAUCAAGCCUGGACCUGAGGACACCAGAGACCAUCGUGGAGAGAGUUGUAUCAAGCCUGGACCUGAGGACACCAGAGUCCAUGGUGGAGAGAGUUGUAUCAAGCCUGGACCUGAGGACACCAGAGACCAUGGUGGAGAGAGUUGUAUCAAGUCUGGACCUGAGGACACCAGAGACCAUCGUGGAGAGAGUUGUAUCAAGCCUGGACCUGAGGACACCAGAGACCAUGGUGGAGAGAGUUGUAUCAAGCCUGGACCUGAGGACACCAGAGACCAUGGUGGAGAGAGUUGUAUCAAGCCUGGACCUGAGGACACCAGAGACCAUGGUGGAGAGAGUUGUAUCAAGCCUGGACCUGAGGACACCAGAGACCAUCGUGGAGAGAGUUGGAUCAAGCCUGGACCUGAGAACACCAGAGACCAUCGUGGAGAGAGUUGGAUCAAGCCUGGACCUGAGGACACCAGAGACCAUGGUGGAGAGAGUUGUAUCAAGUCUGGACCUGAGGACACCAGAGACCAUCGUGGAGAGAGUUGUAUCACGUCUGGACCUGAGGACACCAGAGACCAUGGUGGAGAGAGUUGUAUCAAGUCUGGACCUGAGGACACCAGAGACCAUCGUGGAGAGAGUUGUAUCAAGUCUGGACCUGAGGACACCAGAGACCAUGGUGGAGAGAGUUGUAUCAAGCCUGGACCUGAGGACACCAGAGACCAUCGUGGAGAGAGUUGUAUCAAGCCUGGACCUGAGGACACCAGAGACCAUGGUGGAGAGAGUUGUAUCAAGCCUGGACCUGAGGACACCAGAGACCAUGGUGGAGAGAGUUGUAUCAAGUCUGGACCUGAGGACACCAGAGACCAUGGUGGAGAGAGUUGGAUCAAGCCUGGACCUGAGAAAUUGAUUCCUCAGAGCUGUAAGACUUGUGACCAUGUUGAGGACUCCACACACUGGCUUCAGAUUGAACCCUUGACUUCCACUGUCCAGGGAGUGACAAUGUUCAGACACAGGACACCCAAAGGGAGUUAUGAGUGCACAGUGUCUGGGCUCCGCUGGCUGUGUGAGAGAGAUGUCAUUCUGAAGUAUCACUUCAGGAACUGGGAACCCUACAGUCAACUUCUGAAAGACAUGCAGUACACACAAGGUGGUCCAUUGCUGGACAUCACUAUGGAGUUAGGUGAACUGGAGGAAGUUCAUCUGCCACACUUUGUCUGUUUAGGGACCAACCCUUCCCUGAGGAAUGAGAUGAAGAUUCUUCAUGUAGAGGAACAUGGAGUGUCUUUAGAGGAAGUGCAUGAGGUCACCAGAUUCCAUGUUAAGAUUCUCCAUCCCAAGUUCUCACCUAUCUCUGUUAUACUGAGCUAUAUCUUUUCAUGGAACGUAGAUGUCCACUGUGAGCUGAUGCUCUAUCUGACAGUGAAAAGGGAAACAUUAAUUUCUCGCCUGUACCUGUUCCCCUGGAACCCCGGCCAAAUACAGGCUGUGGAACAACAGGAAAAGUCCUACGGGUCUUCAAGGUUUCUCAUCUCCAGACCAGAGCAGUCCUUCAAACUAUAUAGUUUCUUCAGACUGAACAUUCCCUGUUCUACCUCCAUCAAUCCACAGAGGAUUCAUCUCAUACAAAGAGACACCACACCAAGCUUUUUCAAGGCGAUUGUGAAAAUAACAGGGAUUGACAUUGAGAUGGAGUUAUUCGGUGAUGAUGAGAGGACAGCAUGGAAAGAGAAAGUAUCACGAUAUGAAUACAUCUCUGACACCUGUUCAACUAGUGCUGUGUCGGGGGCAGGAGGUCCGGCUGAGAGCAGUCUGACUGGUUCUGCAGAGCAGCAGCUGCGUUCUGUACGGACAGAGUUUGUGAAACGAGUAUCAGGACCUGUCCUGAAUGAACUGCUGGACAGACUCCUGCAACACACAGUCAUCAACCAGGAGGACAUGGAGUCAGUGAAGGGGAUUGCUGAGAGGGCAGAGAAGGCACGUGACAUCAUCGAUAUGGUGUUGAGAAAAGGAACUGAGUCGUGUUCCAGGAUGAUCAACCUUCUUGGGGAGAUGGACCCCAAUCUUUGGUCACAGCUUCAGAUCAGUGUUGGAGUACCAACCUAAUGGUAGAAUGGACAGUAACAGUGUUGGGGUACCAACCUAAUGGUAGAAUGGAUAGCAACAGUGUUGGGAGUACCAACCUAAUGGUAGAAUGGGGACAGUAACACUCCAAUUGAACACCAUGGGGUGUAUUCACUAGGAAACAGACCUGAUCCUAGCUCAGGACUCCUACUCAACCAACACUUGUUUUUUUGUUGUUGCAAAACGUUAUGCUACGGUGGUCGACUAAUAAAUACACCCCCGAUCUGA